AUUGAACGCUGGCGGCAGGCCUAACACAUGCAAGUCGAACGAGUGGCGAACGGGUGAGAAAUGCCUGGGAACCUGCCGGAUGGAGGGGGAUAACAACUGGAAACGGUAGCUAAUACCGCAUACAAUCGGAUGUGCCCAGAUGGGAUUAGCUGGAAGGUGGGGUACAGGCUCACCUGGGCGACAAUCCUUAGCUGGUCUGAGAGGAUGACCAGACACACGGGAACUGAGACACGGUCCAGACUCCUACGGGAGGCAGCAGGGGGGAAUAUUGCACAAGGGGCGCAAGCCUGAUGCAGCCAUGCCGCGUGUAUGAAGAAGGCCUUCGGGUUGUAAAGUACUUUCAGCGGGGAGGCGUUACCCGCAGAAGAAGCACCGGCUAACUCCGUGCCAGCAGCCGCGGUAAUAC
rnacentral:rRNA from 1 species